rnacentral:rRNA from 1 species
GCAGUCGAGCGGAUUGAUGGGAGCUUGCUCCCUGAAGUCAGCGGCGGACGGGUGAGUAACACGUGGGUAACCUGCCUGUAAGACUGGGAUAACUCCGGGAAACCGGGGCUAAUACCGGAUAGUUCUUUUCCUCGCAUGAGGAAAAGUGGAAAGGCGGCUUCGGCUGCCACUUACAGAUGGACCCGCGGCGCAUUAGCUAGUUGGUGAGGUAACGGCUCACCAAGGCAACGAUGCGUAGCCGACCUGAGAGGGUGAUCGGCCACACUGGGACUGAGACACGGCCCAGACUCCUACGGGAGGCAGCAGUAGGGAAUCUUCCGCAAUGGACGAAAGUCUGACGGAGCAACGCCGCGUGAGUGAUGAAGGUUUUCGGAUCGUAAAGCUCUGUUGUUAGGGAAGAACAAGUGCCGUUCGAAUAGGGCGGCACCUUGACGGUACCUAACCAGAAAGCCACGGCUAACUACGUGCCAGCAGCCGCGGUAAUACGUAGGUGGCAAGCGUUGUCCGGAAUUAUUGGGCGUAAAGCGCGCGCAGGCGGUCUCUUAAGUCUGAUGUGAAAGCCCACGGCUCAACCGUGGAGGGUCAUUGGAAA